CAUAAAUUUAAUACUCUUUCAAUCUUCAACGUAAAAACUGUCGCAGGGUUCCGGCCAAAUAAGCGCGUUGCAAUGGCGCUCCGCCAGUGGAUCGACGGCGAUGAGACCGCCGCGGAGAUGCUUACUAGAGUCCACAAAGAGCGAACCUCCUUGCUUGUUCCGCCUCUCCACAGAGUUCCUCUCCACGUCGGCAAUGUGGUCGAGCUUGUUGGACCCUCUGGUUCCGCCAAGACGCAGAUCUUAAUCCAGGCUGCAGUUAAUUGCAUUCUUCCCAAGGAGUGGAAUGGGAUCCGCUAUGGAGGCUUGGAGUGUUCGGUGGUGUUCAUUGACUUGGAUUGUCGUCUUGACAUCUCAAGGCUUUCCCAAGUUUUGAAGCUUCGAAUUUUGGAAGGAAAUGGCAGCGGAGAUUGGGGAAAUUUUGAUGCACUAUAUACUACAUGCCUGAGAAGAUUCUUUUACAUCCGUUGCUAUGACAGUUUUGAAUUUCUUGCCACUCUCAAGACCAUGCACCAUAAACUUCAAAAAGAAAGAGAUGACCUUGGAAUUCGGUUGCAUCUACUCAUGAUCGACAGUAUUGGAGCUUAUCAUUGGGUUGAUCGUGUCUCUUCAUCCUUGCCUUUGUGGGGUUACAACAGGAAAGGCUUUUCUCUUGCAAAUAUGUUAGAAGCGGCCGUAGAAGAAGUUAAAAAGCUUUUGCUGGUGCAUCCGAGUAUUGUUAUUGCUUCAAAAGCUACCAUUUUUGGGGAUAGAUCUUCUGACAUAGUGAGACGUGAAAAAUCUUUAUCAGAGACGGAAUCAAGACAUGGGAAAACCGAUGGUGGACAAGUUUUGUACCGUGAGUAUAUGCCUUCUGCAUGGCAGUCUUUUGUAACGCACAGAGUUUUUGUUCGAGGCUCAGACGAAUAUCUUACAGUGAGCAGUUGUGAGCAUCAGUCAAUAUAUUUUUCUGAAUGGCUGCUACCAUCCCUGGGUGUCCUCGAUAAAUUUAUUGUCAAAAAUGCUGGCGUCUUUAUGGUACCAUGAACUGCAUUUGUUUGAUAUGCCACUGACCAGUUCUUGGGCGUUCUUAUGAUUCCAGGAUUCAUGGUUUGGGGUUUAGCGUCCAACUGAGGACCUAAUCGAAUAAGGGAAAGGUGGUUUGGUUCGUGGUUGGUUGGAUUGAGCUUCUCUUUCUUUCAUUUUCUUCGUUUUCAGUGUUUGAAUAAAUAGGUAAAGGAGAAUGAAUCUUUCGUCUUUUUCUUUUUCUUUUACCGAGUGAAAAAAUAAAGAGGAAAAAGAACCAAACAGUUUAGAGCGGUAGGAGAGAAGCAGUGA